CUACCCAACUGCCCCUUUAUGAGCUACAGCACACAUUCAUUUGGGUUUUAAUUUUUGAUUACGAUCCUUGGUCUGUCAACACCCUACCCAUACUCGUGGGUUUCAAAAUACCGAAAGAAUUAUUCAAUGACGAGAUUAAGAUGGUCAAAUUUAACUUGCUAGUCCACAGCUCAUUCAGACAAGUGUUUUAUGUAAUGCAACCAGAUUUAGGAAAAAUCAAGUUGUCCUUCGAGCAUGUCCAGAUUCUCAGUUGUGUUUCCUAUUCUCCUGAUCUUAGUGACGUUACAAGACGUUUGUAACUUCUAUUCUUUAACAUGGACUUACGAUCGCCAAGAUCAGGUUGUGGACAAGGGGCCCAAGACAAGCGGAUGACCUUGGUGAAUCAUUUCAACCCCAUUUUAACAAUUUACUAAUAAAGCUCUGAUAAAGAUCAGGAAUGGCACCAGUUGACACUAUCAACCCUGAGCAAUUGCUCAAUUUACCAAUCCUAAUCUUGAUCUAUAAUACUUUAAUAGAGGAUAUUACCAGUCCCAGCUGAUAUAUCAUAAACAGUUCACACAAGUGGCCGAGCCAGGCGAGACAAUGUGCGGACGAGGCUCACCAUUUGAACAUAAUCUGAUCAAGAUUUGUGAUUAACCAGCUGUGAGGGAUCUGAAUAACUUCAUCCUGUGUGGAUUUGGGGGAUUUGUGAGUCAGGAACAUGCGUGAAGAUUGGAGUGACACAAAUCUUCUCCUGACCUCAAUAACUCUGCUAACUAGGGAUUGUCUUAUCACUAAUCUUCAGUUCUGUUUUAGCAGCUGAGGCACACAAGUGAACCAUGUAUUGACCUGUGAACCAGGUGAAGACUGAAGGAUGGAUUGUGAACCGGAGUCUUAACCACCAAGAGAUGAUAUUUGACAAGCCUGCAGCAAAUCGUAGGAUGGGAGAAGUAUUGGCCGAUAGAGCUGAGAAGUGGAACGGAAUGUGGGUGUUUGUCUGUUUUAACAUAUGCUCUGGGAUAUGUAAGAUAGACUUUUUUGUAAUAUUUUGUAAUUAUUACUUGUAAUAAAAACAUUUCAAUGAUAACAUAUUGUCUUGGUAUAUAGUAUAAACUUGACCAAUUUCAAAGGUGAGG